rnacentral:lncRNA from 1 species
CGGGGAGAGGCGGGGCUACAGGUGGGGGUGGGGCUAAAAGCCAAGGGGCGGGGCUAAGGUUGGAGGGGCGUGGCUACGGACGGGGGCGGGGCUACGAACGGUGAGGGCGGGACUAAGGUUAGAGUGGGCGUGGCUACGGGCAGGGGCGUGGCUACGGGUCCCAUUUAUGGCUCCCACAUUUAUGGGUCGCACAGUGCUGUGCCCCACACUUAUGGGUCCCACACUUAUGGGUCCCACUUAUGGGUCACGCUUACGUGUCCCACUUAUGGGCCCCACACUUAUGGGUCCCACUUAUGAGUCCCACACUUAUGGGUCCCACAGUCUCACACUUAUGGGUCUCACUUACGUGUCCCACACUUAUGGGUCCCACUUAUGGGUCCCACAUUCCCACACUUAUGGGUCCCACACCUAUGGGUCUCACAUUCCCACACUUACGGGUCCCACACUUACGGGUCCCACACUUAUGGGUCCCACACAUGGGUCCCACAUUCCCACACUUAUGGGUCCCACACUUAUGGGUCCCACAUUCCCACACUUACGGGUCCCACACUUAUGGGUCCCACACCUAUGGGUCCCACAUUCCCACACUUAUGGGUCCCACACUUACGUGUCCCACACUUAUGGGUCCCACACUUACGGGUCCCACACUUAUGGAUCCCACACCUAUGGGUCCCACAUUCCCACACUUAUGGGUCCCACACUUAUGGGUCCCACACUUAUGGGUCCCACACUUACGGGUCCCACACUUAUGGAUCCCACACUUACGGGUCCCACACUUAUGGGUCCCACACUUACGGGUCCCACAUUCCCACACUUACGGGUCCCACACUUAUGGUUCCCACAUUCCUACACUUAUGGGUCCCACACUUAUGGGUCCCACACUUAUGGGUCCCACACUUACGGGUCCCACACUUAUGGGUCCCACACUUAUGGGUCCCAGCCCAUCGCCCCCCAUCCCCCUGGCACCCACAGGUUCUGCACUGCGCGGGCCACCUGCGCUCCUACAGCAGCGGCGGCG